UUUAUGGGUGUGAUUUGGGUUAUGUAUUCAAGGAAGACUCGUUAAAUAGUUCAAGAUCUGUAACUUGCGGGGAAGAUUCAACGUGGACAACGUUGCAGCUCAAAUGUGAAUUGAGGAACUGUGGAAAUCCAGGAGAGAUUAUGAAUGGAUAUUCGCAGGCACCGAAAACUACUUUUGGAAGUAAAGUUACUUUUCACUGUGAGACAGGAUACCAGGUGGUGGGUCGGAGUUACCAGUUGUGCACUGCUGAUGGUUGGGACGGCCAGAUCCCGACGUGUAAAG